GCAGCAGUAUUUUAGUGGUAGAAUACGAGACUGUGGCUCUUGUGGCGCGAGUUCGAUUCUCGCCUGCUGCC
rnacentral:tRNA from 1 species